rnacentral:rRNA from 1 species
UUUAUGGAGAGUUUGAUCCUGGCUCAGGAUGAACGCUGGCGGCGUGCCUAAUACAUGCAAGUCGAGCGAACGGACGAGAAGCUUGCUUCUCUGAUGUUAGCGGCGGACGGGUGAGUAACACGUGGAUAACCUACCUAUAAGACUGGGAUAACUUCGGGAAACCGGAGCUAAUACCGGAUAAUAUUUUGAACCGCAUGGUUCAAAAGUGAAAGACGGUCUUGCUGUCACUUAUAGAUGGAUCCGCGCUGCAUUAGCUAGUUGGUAAGGUAACGGCUUACCAAGGCAACGAUGCAUAGCCGACCUGAGAGGGUGAUCGGCCACACUGGAACUGAGACACGGUCCAGACUCCUACGGGAGGCAGCAGUAGGGAAUCUUCCGCAAUGGGCGAAAGCCUGACGGAGCAACGCCGCGUGAGUGAUGAAGGUCUUCGGAUCGUAAAACUCUGUUAUUAGGGAAGAGCAUAUGUGUAAGUAACUGUGCACAUCUUGACGGUACCUAAUCAGAAAGCCACGGCUAACUACGUGCCAGCAGCCGCGGUAAUACGUAGGUGGCAAGCGUUAUCCGGAAUUAUUGGGCGUAAAGCGCGCGUAGGCGGUUUUUUAAGUCUGAUGUGAAAGCCCACGGCUCAACCGUGGAGGGUCAUUGGAAACUGGAAAACUUGAGUGCAGAAGAGGAAAGUGGAAUUCCAUGUGUAGCGGUGAAAUGCGCAGAGAUAUGGAGGAACACCAGUGGCGAAGGCGACUUUCUGGUCUGUAACUGACGCUGAUGUGCGAAAGCGUGGGGAUCAAACAGGAUUAGAUACCCUGGUAGUCCACGCCGUAAACGAUGAGUGCUAAGUGUUAGGGGGUUUCCGCCCCUUAGUGCUGCAGCUAACGCAUUAAGCACUCCGCCUGGGGAGUACGACCGCAAGGUUGAAACUCAAAGGAAUUGACGGGGACCCGCACAAGCGGUGGAGCAUGUGGUUUAAUUCGAAGCAACGCGAAGAACCUUACCAAAUCUUGACAUCCUUUGACAACUCUAGAGAUAGAGCCUUCCCCUUCGGGGGACAAAGUGACAGGUGGUGCAUGGUUGUCGUCAGCUCGUGUCGUGAGAUGUUGGGUUAAGUCCCGCAACGAGCGCAACCCUUAAGCUUAGUUGCCAUCAUUAAGUUGGGCACUCUAAGUUGACUGCCGGUGACAAACCGGAGGAAGGUGGGGAUGACGUCAAAUCAUCAUGCCCCUUAUGAUUUGGGCUACACACGUGCUACAAUGGACAAUACAAAGGGCAGCGAAACCGCGAGGUCAAGCAAAUCCCAUAAAGUUGUUCUCAGUUCGGAUUGUAGUCUGCAACUCGACUACAUGAAGCUGGAAUCGCUAGUAAUCGUAGAUCAGCAUGCUACGGUGAAUACGUUCCCGGGUCUUGUACACACCGCCCGUCACACCACGAGAGUUUGUAACACCCGAAGCCGGUGGAGUAACCUUUUAGGAGCUAGCCGUCGAAGGUGGGACAAAUGAUUGGGGUGAAGUCGUAACAAGGUAGCCGUAUCGGAAGGUGCGGCUGGAUCACCUCCUUUCU